rnacentral:rRNA from 1 species
UACGUAGGGGGCAAGCGUUGUCCGGAUUUAUUGGGCGUAAAGAGCGUGUAGGCGGCCAGGUAGGUCAGCUGUGAAAACUCGAGGCUCAACCUCGAGCUGUCGGCUGAAACCAUCUGGCUAGAGUCCGGAAGAGGAGAAUGGAAUUCCCGGUGUAGCGGUGAAAUGCGCAGAUAUCGGGAAGAACACCCGUGGCGAAGGCAGCUCUCUGGGACGGUACUGACGCUGAGACGCGAAAGCGUGGGGAGCGAACAGG